rnacentral:rRNA from 1 species
CGGGGGGGGCAAGCGUUGUUCGGAAUUACUGGGCGUAAAGGGCCAGUAGGCGGCCAACUAAGUCGGAUGUGAAUCCCCAGGCUCAACCUGGGAACUGCAUCCGAUACUGGAUGGCUUGAAUUCGGGAGAGGGAUGCAGAAUUCCAGGUGUAGCGGUGAAAUGCGUAGAUAUCUGGAGGAAUACCGGUGGCGAAGGCGGCAUCCUGGACCGACAUUGACGCUGAACGGCGAAAGCUAGGGGAGCAAACGGGAUUAGAUACCCCGGUAGUCCUAGCCCUAAACGAUGAAUGCUUGGUGUAACGGGUAUCGAUCCCUGUUGUGCCGAAGCUAACGCAUUAGGCAUUCCGUCUGGGGAGUACGGUCGCAAGGCUG